rnacentral:lncRNA from 1 species
UUUUGGGUCAUCAGGGCCUAUGGCCACCUUACCUGGGCUGAGCUUUUGGACAAGGUGCUGUGCCAGUCUACACCCCUCAGCCAGCUGUUCUUGGAGGUCCUGCCCCUGGGACUUGUCCGGCUCAUACGGAGUGAGGAGGGCCUGGAGAUGCUCAUACAAUGAGCGGGAGGCAUCUCUCCCUUCCCGUAACUUCUCCCUUAGCUGGGUCAGCUCUCGU